UACGUAGGUGGCAAGCGUUGUCCGGAUUUAUUGGGUUUAAAGGGUGCGUAGGCGGUCUUGUAAGUCAGUGGUGAAAUACGGCAGCUCAACUGUCGAGGUGCCAUUGAUACUGUAGAACUUGAGUACAGACGAGGUAGGCGGAAUUGACGGUGUAGCGGUGAAAUGCUUAGAUAUCGUCAAGAACACCGAUAGCGAAGGCAGCUUACUAGGCUGUAACUGACGCUGAGGCACGAAAGUGUGGGGAUCAAACAGG
rnacentral:rRNA from 1 species